UCUCUCUCUCUCUCUCUCUCUCUCUCUCAAAAAAAAAAAAAAAAAGUGGGCAUCUUGUCAUAUAUUUAAGGGUAGACUAGAAACUCUUUAAGGCUCAGAACCCAAGGUGCGGACUUCACAUACUGCUCACACUAACAGGUGCCCCUGCCCUGUACUUGUUAAAUGAGUAAAGGAAAAAACUGGUCGGACCUCUACCGGACUCAUCAUGUUGGGACUGUUGUGAAACCGGUCACCAUGACAGUUGACUCAUGUCCCAGUGUGGGCAGUGCCAGACGCCUGGCUGGGAGCUAGUGAAAAAGAAGAGGAGACGGGUCUCCCCCCCUGCCAACACUCCCCCUCCCCCCCAGAACAGGUAGAAGACCCUUCUCUCCCCGUGGAACGUAGUAAGAGUACAGCUUUAUGAGUCCAGAGAUAUCCACAGAGCCAUUGCAAUGCAUGACACAAUGCCCCCUUUACCCUAGUAGAAUUGUCUCUAGUAUUUUUUUUUUAAUGUUUGUUUAUCAUUGAGGAGGGGGAGGGGAAGAGAGGGAGGGAGACACAGAAUCCAAAUCAGGCUCCAGGCUCUGAGCUGUCAGCACAGAGCCCGAUGCGUGGCUCAGAUCCACGAUUGGAACCGUGAGAUCAUGACCUGAGCUGAAGUUGGAUGCUUAACUGACUGAGCCACCCAGGCGCCCCUCUAGUAUUUAUACUAUUUGUUAAAUAUGUCGGCACGAACAUGGUAAGACUUUUUUUCCUUCCUUUUUUUUUUUUUAAGUGUAUUUAUUUGAGAGAAAGAGUCCAAGUGGGUAAGGGGCAGAGAGAGGGAGAGACAGAAUCCCAAGCAGUCUCCGCACUAUCAGUGCAGAGCCCAAUGCAGGGCUCGAACUCACAAACUAUCAGAUCUGAGCCAAGAUCAAGAAUUGGGUGCCCCUCUUCACAUAUAUUUUAGAUUUCAUUCUAUUCUACACCAAAACAUGCAGAGCUUGCUUGAACUUUUUCACAGUACAGUGUCCUUCAUAUACUGUAACUUACUUUACCGGUACCUUAGUGAUAGACAUUUAGGCUGUUUAUAGUCUUUGCUAUUACAAAUGGUAAGAUAAGAAAUAACCUUAUGUAUGUUCUUUUAGACAUACAAGUGUGUCGGCAGGAUAAAUUUCUAGAUGUGGACCAAAAGGGAUAUGUGCAUUUGUAAUUUUGACAAAUAAUGCCCAUUUGGUGUCCUUGGAGCUGUACCAGUUUACAUCCAGCAGGGUGGGACUGUGGGGGAGGAUCCUGGGCUGCCAUCCCCCUGAGAGCAUGUGGGCGGCGGGGGCCGGGGGGGGGGGUGUAGCCAGAUGGCCCUUUGCACUCUGUAUGGGAUGAUCAUCUCUGCCCUGCACCUAAGCGGACCUCGGAUGAGCGCUCUGCGGGCAGGCCCAGUGGAGGCACAGGCUUCGAAACGGGAAGUGAAACAGAGCCCGCUUUGACAGCUUCUGAAGUUUGACAGCUCUGAUGCCCUCCCUGCUGAGCAGGCUCUAGAAAAAGACGGCUCCUGCCAUCAAGGCCACACAACCCCCAGGAGAAGCGACUUAGACAGGGACCAGAUUUCAUUCGUCCGACACAUAAACAAUCCUCACAGGCUGGACAGGACCAACAGCCCAAACAGGAGGCAUGAGUACCUACUACGUAGCCAACCCUGGGCUCGACACACAGCACCAGGAUGAGGCAGUCUCUAGCGGAGGCAGUGAGAUGUAUUGUGGCAAUGAGACGUGCCCUCAUAAAAUAUAAACAGAGAAAUCCUUAACUCUUCUUGGGGAAGGCUGCCCCGAGAAACGGCAUGUGGUCAAGGGCAGGACUUGCAGGUCUGGAAGCCAGCAGAACCUCUCCGCGAGGUGGAGGCAUCUGCCCCAGAGGAGGUUUCUGGGAAGUGCCUUUUCCUUCAAGAGACUAAGGACCACAGCAGAGCUCAGGAAGGACCCGGGACCCUGUCCACCUUCCGUCCUCCCUGCUCGUUCUGAAAUACUUAGCUACGGGGCCGUCUUCGGGAAGUCCGCGUGCACUCCUGUCCUGUGGCUCUGUUCGCAUUAGCUCCAGGCCCCCCUCUCCCACCAGGAAGCCCUCGGAGCUGAGGCACCGGAGCUCCAACUGUCCGCAUCUGCCAUGACUGGCACGGAGUUGUUUUCUAGUGUAGCACUCGGCUGAACGAACUAUGGAGAACACAGGCCGUCAUGUUGACGAUCCCGUAAGUCCUGGAGGUGGAGCUGACCCCAAACCACGUCAAGCUGCCACUGCUGUGGCCUCAUUCCACCUCUGGACCCUUUCGGAGACAUGUUCCUUUCCCGGAUUUACUUGAGUUUCUUGGCAAAUUAGCUCCUUAAGCCUGACGUUACCGGUGCGUUUGUCUGAGUUUGAGGGUGGAAAAAUGCCGCCACACCUGAGUCACUAGAGAAUGAAUCAGUGUGGCCUUCAUCGGUGGGUGUGGCACUGGUCGUCACUGUGGCAGCUGGGGACGGCAGAAUGGGGACAGAGGGACAUGGGAAAUGUGAGGGCAGAGGGUGGGCCGUCCUCCUCUUUGCAUCUCCUCCUCAUGAUCUCUCCCUUGACGUCUGGCAGCGUGACACCGGCCGUUUGCGAAGUUCUCGGGAACCUCCCGGACACUGCUCUGCCUCGGCUCUCCUGCCACUCGGCCACUGUCCCUUCUCCUUUGCUGGUCUUCCACCUUCUAGAGAGGAUUUCCCGAGCGCCGUCUUUGGUCUUGUCACGCCACCUCCCUGUCUCUCUUCACCCCCUGAGAACCCCUCCAUGCGCAUGGGCUCAGCUGUCGCUUCUGUGCAGGCGAUCCCCCCUGCCCUGGAUGCCACCUCUCCCUGACCUCGCCACUGGACUUGACCUCUAAGUUGCCGCUGCCUACUGGAUGUUUCCUUUUGGGAGUCCUGUCAUCGUCUUAAACUGAACAGGCAUGAAAUCGAGCUUGCUCCUCCUCCCAGAUUCCAGUCUUCUGCCCAUGGCAUCAGCCUUCUCUCACGCACCCGUGCUCAAAUCCUGAGUCAUCUUCGACGCCUCCUCCCCACUCCUCCCUUCCCAAACGCAGGCCUUGCCACCUGCCUUUGCAACAUCUCUUGUUGCUCUCUGUCCUUUGCAUUCUGACUGCUAGCCCAGCAUCUCAGCACCCAUGUCCCGAAUAUUUAAUAGCUUCUGCUGUGGUCUCCCUGCCUGCACUUUCUUCCCUGCGAGUCUUUCUUCCUACCUGGCCAGACAGAUUCUCCGGAAUGAUUAUUUUUUAUCCUAUUUUUCUCUUGCUCAACAACCUUCAGGCGCUGUCUUCACUGUGGAUAAGUGCAGAUUCCUUCACCUCAGGCUCCAGGCCCACGUUUGGCCCCAGCCCUACUUGCUGGCGUUAUCCCACAUGACGUGAGUGCAGGCAUCAGAUUCCGUCCCCGACACUUACGUGCUGUGUGACCCUUGGGCAAGUACUUAACCUCACUGUGCCUGAAUCUCUUCCUCAAAGUCUCUUUAUAAAGAUUUUAGCAUCUGAGAGGAUAAACAGCACUUAGAACAGUCUGGGUAUGGAGUAGGCACUGAAAUGCUAGCUGUUUAGUGCACCGAUUCUCAUCAACCAAGUGCUGCAAUCUGCACGCCCUCCCCUGGGCGCACACGUCCGCCUCUCCUUGUUACCUUUGCUCUCAGCCCCGUCCCUCAAUCUAGAAUGCUCUUCUCCGCCCCUCUCCUCUUACUCACCCUUCAUGGGCCCCUGACCUCCCAUUUUGCUUCUGAUAAACGUCUCUUUGCCACUUCCUGCAGGGCUGCUCCGCCUGGUUGGGUGGUGCUGGGCGUGUCGAGAGCCAGCCGCAGGCCACUCUCGGCACAUCUUCCUGGAGGGGUCGUUUUACUUGACAAGUGAGUUCACCCAUUUGUAAUGCUACAGCAGCUACCUCAGUAAUAUCAUGGAGUAGAACGCAAGACUGGCAGAAGGUUUUGAAGCAAACAGAUGCAACUAGUAAGGAUACUCAGGGGCGCCUGGGUGACUCGGUCAGUUAAGCGUCCGAUUUCGGCUCGGGUCAUGAUCUCACAGCUCGUGAGUUCCAGCCCCGCGUCGGGCUCUGCGCUGACAGCUCAGAGCCUGGAGCCUGCUUCGGAUUCUCUCUCUCUGUCUCUCUCAAAAAUAAAGAAACAAACAAACAUUUUUUAAAAAGAAUAUUCAGAGUGGAGGUGUCUCAGGCCACCCCCCAGCUGCGGUAGGGGGUCUUCAUUCAUUCUGCAGCGGAAGGGGUGAGGUGCUAAAGUGAGGCAGGGACAGCCAGUGUAGCGGGAGGUGGCUGUCUCUGUGCUCAGGGUCCCCACAAUGAGGGUCCUUUUAAGUGCAGGGCUCUCUCCUUCCUGAAGACUCAGUGUCUAUACCACUCCCAAUUGCCCCAAAGUAGCCUGUAUAUUGUUUUCUUAACUUUCCACAUGGGUAGAUCUCAUCUCUCCAUCUCGCCCUCAGCACCCAGGGCGCAGGCCCAGCGGGGUGCGGGCGUUGGGUAACGCACUGCGGGAGGCAGCCCCAGGUGUGAGUCCGGCCCCGGGGUUUACUGACGGAGUAAGUUGCUUUUCUCUCCAGCCUCCUUAUCUGUCAACUGUGGCUCAUACUUACCUAGUGAGAGUGUUUUGAGUCACUCCAGUCAACUAGAUAAGGAAUGUGCAGCUUUCAGCUCAGCAGAUGGCACGCAGGGCACUUAGUAAACAUCAGACCCCUCCGAGCUACGUGAGGCUCUCAGCAAACAUUGGAUUCUCGAAUGUUCCCACUGAUAACUAUACCUUCCCACCUGCAUCUACACCCACAUCCUUGGCCUCCCUUCCUGUCACGCUGGAUGCUCCUACCUGAGGCCAGCCUCUCCCUGGGUACUCGUCCUGGCCCUUGUCGCUUUCACAAAGGCCUCAUAUGACUGCUGUCUCUGUCUCCUGCGGCAUCAGUACCCUCCCCGUUUGCUCACUGUCUUCACUGGGUGAUCAUGCUGUGGUGUCACUCUCUCUAAAGCAAAAGACAAAACGACACAUCAAAACCCCUCCUUUGAUCCCACGUCCCACUGGUCACCGCUGUAUUCCUCUGCUCCCUUUCCAGUAAAACUCCCUGAAAGGGUUGGCACGCUCCCCUUUCCACUUCUGCCGCUCGCUCUGAGCCCACUGCAGCACACUCUUACCUGGCAGUCGUGGAAACUUCUUGUCUCUGGUGACCUCUGCAUGGCCAAGUCCAGCAUUCGGCCCUCAGGCUUCAUUGUACCAGCCUCUCCAAAGCACCUGAGACCCUGAAAUGCCUUCUGUCCAGGCCCCCCGGGCCUGCGACUCCUGAUUUUCCUCCGGCCCUGCCGCCCACAGUCUCCUUCCUCGCCUCUAAGCAUAGAAGUCCCAGGCCUGUCCUUGGACCACUUCUUGUCUCUUUCUGCAGUCACCGAGGUAACUUUAUCCACGCUCAGGGCUUUAAAUGCCACCUAAGAAACGUCCUCAUUUACAUCUCCGAUCCAGAGCUCCCCGGAAUUCCAGGCCGGCGUAUCCACCGCCUACUCCCGAGCUCCGCUGGGGUGUCACCCUCUUCAGGCGCGGACUCUUGGUUCCCCAGCACCCCCCACCCCCACCCCUCACACAGCCUUCCCCAUCUCAGUCAUGGGAACUCUGGCUUUCCAGACGCUCAGGCCGAGGCCUUUGGAGUUCUCCUUCGCUCCGCUCUCUCUCAAGCCCACAACCGACUGAUCGCCCCACCCUGGUCCAAAUCACCGUCACCUCUCUCGAGGCCGACCCCAAAAGCCUGAGCAGUUUUGCCGCCUCUUUUUCCCCCAACCCCACAAUCUGUUCUCCGCCAACCGCCAGAGUCAUGUUUUCAACACAUAAGCUUGAUUGUGUCAUUUAUUGGCUCAAAACCCACCACUGUCUUCCUGUCUCACUCAGAAUAAAAUCCAGAUUCCUUAUCUAG